UCAUGUUAACCCCCGCCUUAAAGGAAUAACGUUUCAUGAAAAGCAAGCUAGGGUCCUCAUGUUGUGUUCUUCCACUAAAUAUUUUACAUUCGCAGUACCUCUUCCACUCUUAAGAACCCUUAAAGGUAAAUAAGGAUGACCGGGCAUUAUUCAACAAUUUGGCAAAACGUUGAAGAGGGGUACCUAAGAUGGACAACGUCCACCUAUGAGCAAUCAUGCCCUACACGUUUUGAAGCCACCAUACUUAAUCGUUUUCCUCCGCCCAUGAGAAUAGGACUACUGUGCGCUUUCAAUGUCUAUGAUAUUUAGCGACUAUAUUACUCACUUUCUGUAGAUAAUUUCCAAGUUGCACUCGAGGAUCUAAACCACUUAAAGGAAAUAACAGAUAAAAAUCCCAGAGUUUUACAAGAACUUGGUUUUGACCAUGACACGUUGAGAGCAAGAGCACAACUCCUCAAAGGAGAAGUCGAGCAUGAUAAAAAUGACUUUAGUAAAGCGUUAAGUUGCUACACUGAAGGGAUUGAAUUAAAGUGCAAAGAUGACGAAUUGAACGCUCAGCUUUACCUCAGGAGGGCGCACUCGCAUGGUCAUCUGGGUGAGGUUACAUGAUUGUUUGUUUUCUGUUUUACUUUAGUGAGUUAAAAUAUGUAAGUUCAAAAUGUAAAGAAUAUUUAUAUAUUGUCCAUUUCAAUUGCUAUAUAUUCCUUUAAUUUCUAUUUCUGUUAAUUUGUUAAUACAUUAUUUGAUAAUUUCGUUGUUCCCAUCACCUGCCUGCUUGAUUAAAUAUCAUUAUCAUUCGAUGCA